AGUCUAUGGGGCCAGAUGACAUGCAUCCCAGGGUUCUGAAGGAGCUGGCUGAGGUGGUUGCCGAGCCAUUCUCCAUCAUAUUUGAGAAGUCAUGG
rnacentral:miRNA from 7 species